rnacentral:rRNA from 1 species
AUUGAACGCUGGCGGCAUGCCUUACACAUGCAAGUCGAACGGUAACAGGUUAAGCUGACGAGUGGCGAACGGGUGAGUAAUGUAUCGGAACGUGCCCAGUCGUGGGGGAUAACUGCUCGAAAGAGCAGCUAAUACCGCAUACGACCUGAGGGUGAAAGCGGGGGAUCGCAAGACCUCGCGCGAUUGGAGCGGCCGAUAUCAGAUUAGGUAGUUGGUGGGGUAAAGGCCUACCAAGCCUACGAUCUGUAGCUGAUCUGAGAGGACGACCAGCCACACUGGGACUAAGACACGGCCCAGACUCCUACGGGAGGCAGCAGAGGGGAAUGUUGGACAAUGGACGCAAGUCUGAUCCAGCCAUGCCUCGUACGGGAAGAAGGCCUUCGGGUUGUAAACCGCUUUUGUCAGGGAAGAAAAGGUUCUGGUUAAUACCUGGGACUCAUGACGGUACCUGAAGAAUAAGCACCGGCUAACUACGUGCCAGCCGCCGCAGUAACAC